AUUGAACGCUGGCGGCAGGCCUAACACAUGCCAGUCGAGCGGAUGAAGGGAGCUUGCUCCUGGAUUCAGCGGCGGACGGGUGAGUAAUGCCUAGGAAUCUGCCUGGUAGUGGGGGAUAACGUCCGGAAACGGGCGCUAAUACCGCAUACGUCCUGAGGGAGAAAGUGGGGGAUCUUCGGACCUCACGCUAUCAGAUGAGCCUAGGUCGGAUUAGCUAGUUGGUGGGGUAAAGGCCUACCAAGGCGACGAUCCGUAACUGGUCUGAGAAGAUGAUCAGUCACACUGGAACUGAGACACGGUCCAGACUCCUACGGGAGGCAGCAGUGGGGAAUAUUGGACAAUGGGCGAAAGCCUGAUCCAGCCAUGCCGCGUGUGUGAAGAAGGUCUUCGGAUUGUAAAGCACUUUAAGUUGGGAGGAAGGGCAGUAAGUUAAUACCUUGCUGUUUUGACGUUACCAACAGAAUAAGCACCGGCUAACUUCGUG
rnacentral:rRNA from 1 species